UACGUAGGGACCGAGCGUUGUCCGGAAUCAUUGGGCGUAAAGAGCGUGUAGGCGGCCACUUAAGUCCUGCGUGAAAUCUUGCGGCUCAACCGCAAGCGGUCGUGGGAAACUGGGUGGCUAGAGUGCGGGAGAGGAGAGUGGAAUUCCUGGUGUAGCGGUGGAAUGCGCAGAUAUCAGGAGGAACACCAAUUGCGAAGGCAGCUCGCUGGGACGUUACUGACGCUGAGACGCGAAAGCGUGGGGAGCAAACAGG
rnacentral:rRNA from 1 species